UACGAAGGGUGCAAACGUUGCUCGGAAUCAUUGGGCGUAAAGCGCACGUAGGCGGCCCAGCAAGUUGGAUGUGAAAUCCCUCGGCUCAACCGAGGACGUGCAUCCAAAACUGCUGGGCUUGAGUACUGAAGAGGAUCGCGGAAUUCCCGGUGUAGAGGUGAAAUUCGUAGAUAUCGGGAGGAACACCAGUGGCGAAGGCGGCGAUCUGGGCAGAUACUGACGCUGAGGUGCGAAAGCGUGGGGAGCAAAUAGG
rnacentral:rRNA from 1 species